rnacentral:rRNA from 1 species
UACGUAGGGACCGAGCGUUGUCCGGAAUCAUUGGGCGUAAAGAGCGUGUAGGCGGCCUGAAAGGUCAGCUGUGAAAACUCGAGGCUUAACCUCGAGACGUCGGUUGAAACCAUCUGGCUAGAGUCCGGAAGAGGAGUGUGGAAUUCCCGGUGUAGCGGUGAAAUGCGCAGAUAUCGGGAAGAACACCCGUGGCGAAGGCGGCACUCUGGGACGGUACUGACGCUGAGACGCGAAAGCGUGGGGAGCGAACAGG